rnacentral:rRNA from 1 species
UACAGAGGGUGCAAGCGUUAAUCGGAAUACUGGGCGUAAAGCGUGCGCAGGCGGUUUUGUAAGUCUGUCGUGAAAGCCCCGGGCUCAACCUGGGAAUUGCGAUGGAGACUGCAAGGCUUGAAUCUGGCAGAGGGGGGUAGAAUUCCACGUGUAGCAGUGAAAUGCGUAGAGAUGUGGAGGAACACCGAUGGCGAAGGCAGCCCCCUGGGUCAAGAUUGACGCUCAUGCACGAAAGCGUGGGGAGCAAACAGG